rnacentral:lncRNA from 1 species
AAUUGUUAACCCAAGUCUUGGGCUUUAUCAGUCUGUGACAACAAUAUUAAGUCACAUUUCUGUCUCAUACCCAAAGUAUGUCUGGCGCUCAAGUCAGCAAAACUGCUGGAAACUGGCCCUCCUCAAAUUGUUUUUUCAGCAUUUCUGAGGGCCCCAGCAUAACGCCUCGUCAAUACCCAGGAGCAGUCACCAUAGCUUAUCCCUGGCCGUUGGUCUUCCCUCUGGACAGUAAUGCUGCUGGCCACCGCUCUCCUCCCUUGGUGACCAAGUUGACCCACCUUCACUGUGGUCUCAAAGCAAAGGGGGAUUCUAUGAUCGGGAAGGGUUCCGGAAAGAGAAGGAGCAAGAAGAAACGAAGUUAGAAGCUGAAAGCAAUCCCACCAUGAGAAAAAACCUUUAUUUAUCGCAUUCCAUUUCUGCUGGUCUCCAGGCAUCCUGAAGGACACAGUCAUCAGAACUGCCACCGAGGAGAGUUUUUUUUUUUCUUUUCUUCCUCCCCUCCCCCACAAUCACCAUAAAAUUGGCCCCCACACUGCCGACCCAAAAAGCAGGGAUGUAGGGUGGUUCUUCUCUCAACUUGACAUUUUACUUGUUUUUCAAAAGAAUAGUGACUAAGAACCUCAUGAAAUCUAAAUAUGGUUACUGAUAGAAAUUUAGAUUGUCACCAAAAGCACAAUAAAAAUUUAUAUGGUAAGGAAAA